UGCUUAACACAUGCAAGUCGAACGGGACGCUUAGGCAUCUAGUGGCGGACGGGUGAGUAACGCGUGAGAAUCUGGCUCCAGGUCGGGGAUAACAGUUGGAAACGACUGCUAAUACCGGAUGUGCCGAGAGGUGAAAGAUUUAUUGCCUGGAGAUGAGCUCGCGUCUGAUUAGCUAGUUGGUGGUGUAAGGGACCACCAAGGCGUCGAUCAGUAGCUGGUCUGAGAGGAUGAUCAGCCACACUGGGACUGAGACACGGCCCAGACUCCUACGGGAGGCAGCAGUGGGGAAUUUUCCGCAAUGGGCGAAAGCCUGACGGAGCAAUACCGCGUGAGGGAGGAAGGCUCUUGGGUCGUAAACCUCUUUUCUCAAGGAAGAAGAAAGUGACGGUACUUGAGGAAUAAGCAUCGGCUAACUCCGUGCCAGCAGCCGCGGUAAUACGGAGGAUGCAAGCGUUAUCCGGAAUGAUUGGGCGUAAAGGGUCUGCAGGUGGAACUGAAAGUCUGCUGUUAAAGAGUUUGGCUUAACCAAAUAAAAGCGGUGGAAACUACAGAACUAGAGUGCGGUAGGGGCAAAAGGAAUUCCUGGUGUAGCGGUGAAAUGCGUAGAUAUCAGGAAGAACACCGGUGGCGAAAGCGUUUUGCUAGACCGUAACUGACACUGAGGGACGAAAGCUAGGGGAGCGAAUGGGAUUAGAUACCCCAGUAGUCCUAGCCGUAAACGAUGGAUACUAGGCGUGGCUUGUAUCGACCCGAGCCGUGCCGGAGCUAACGCGUUAAGUAUCCCGCCUGGGGAGUACGCACGCAAGUGUGAAACUCAAAGGAAUUGACGGGGGCCCGCACAAGCGGUGGAGUAUGUGGUUUAAUUCGAUGCAACGCGAAGAACCUUACCAAGACUUGACAUCCUGCGAAUCCCGGUGAAAGCUGGGAGUGCCUUAGGGAGCGCAGAGACAGGUGGUGCAUGGCUGUCGUCAGCUCGUGUCGUGAGAUGUUGGGUUAAGUCCCGCAACGAGCGCAACCCUCGUUUUUAGUUGCCAGCAUUAAGUUGGGCACUCUAGAGAGACUGCCGGUGACAAACCGGAGGAAGGUGAGGAUGACGUCAAGUCAGCAUGCCCCUUACGUCUUGGGCUACACACGUACUACAAUGCUACGGACAGAGGGCAGCAAGCCAGGGAUGGCAAGCGAAUCCAGAAACCGUAGCUCAGUUCAGAUCGAAGGCUGCAACUCGCCUUCGUGAAGGAGGAAUCGCUAGUAAUUGCAGGUCAGCAUACUGCAGUGAAUUCGUUCCCGGGCCUUGUACACACCGCCCGUCACACCAUGGAAGUUGGUCACGCCCGAAGUCAUUACCCCAACCGAAAGGAGGGGGAUGCCUAAGGUAGGACUGGUGACUGGGGUGAAGUCGUAACAAGGUAGCCGUACCGGAAGGUGUGGCUGGAUCACCUCCUUU
rnacentral:rRNA from 1 species